GACGAACGCUGGCGGCGUGCUUAACACAUGCAAGUCGAACGGAAAGGCUCCAGCUUGCUGGCGUACUCGAGUGGCGAACGGGUGAGUAACACGUGGGUGAUCUGCCCUGCACUUCGGGAUAAGCCUGGGAAACUGGGUCUAAUACCGGAUAGGACCGCACUUUGGUGUGUGUGGUGGAAAGGUUUUUCUGGUGUGGGAUGAGCUCGCGGCCUAUCAGUUAGUUGGUGGGGUAAUGUCGUAGCAAGACUACGACGGGUAGCCGGCCUGAGAGGGUGAACGGGCACACUGGAACUGAGACACGGUCAAGACUCGGACGGGAGGCAGCAGUAGGGAAUCUGACGGAAAGGGCGAAAGAGUGACGGAGCAACGCCGCGUGAGUGAUGAAGGUCUGCGGAUAGUAAAACUCUGUUAGGAGGGAAGAAAAAAUGUGUAAGGAACUAUGCACGUCUUGAAGCGACCUAAGAAGAAAGUCACGGCUAACUACGUG
rnacentral:rRNA from 1 species